rnacentral:rRNA from 1 species
UAGGGAAUCUUCCGCAAUGGGCGAAAGCCUGACGGAGCAACGCCGCGUGAGUGAUGAAGGUCUUCGGAUCGUAAAACUCUGUUAUUAGGGAAGAACAAAUGUGUAAGUAACUAUGCACGUCUUGACGGUACCUAAUCAGAAAGCCACGGCUAACUACGUGCCAGCAGCCGCGGUAAUACGUAGGUGGCAAGCGUUAUCCGGAAUUAUUGGGCGUAAAGCGCGCGUAGGCGGUUUUUUAAGUCUGAUGUGAAAGCCCACGGCUCAACCGUGGAGGGUGAUUGGAAACUGGAAAACUGGAGUGCAGAAGAGGAAAGUGGAAUUCCAUGUGUAGCGGUAAAAUGCGCCGGGAUAUGGAGGAUCACCAGUGGCGAAGGCGACUUUCUGGUCUGUAACUGACGCUGAUGUGCGAAAGCGUGGGGAUCAAACAGG